CCUCGAAUCAGGUAGGAC
rnacentral:rRNA from 1 species